rnacentral:rRNA from 1 species
UGCAAGUCKAGCGGACAGAUGSKASCUUGCUCCCUGAUGUUAGCGGCGGACGGGUGAGUUACACGUGGGUAACCUGCCUGUAAGACUGGGAUAACUCCGGGAAACCGGGGCUAAUACCGGAUGGUUGUCUGAACCGCAUGKUUCAWACAUAAAAGGUGGCUUCGGCUACCACUUACAGAUGGACCCGCGGCGCAUUAGCUAGUUGGUGAGGUAACGGCUCACCAAGGCRACGAUGCGUAGCCGACCUGAGAGGGUGAUCGGCCACACUGGGACUGASACACGGCCCWYACUCCUACGGGAGGCYGCAGUAGGGAAUCUUCCGCMWUGGACYAAAGUCUGA